GAGAGAGAGAGAGAGAGAGAGAGAGAGAGAGAGAGAGAGAGAGAGAGAGAUUGAAGAAUCUCGGAAAAUAACACAAAAAGAUUAAUGUUUAUCAAAAUACCUUGAUAUCCUCCGAAACUCAUUCACAUUCAAAACGAUCUGAACUAACCAACAA